AUUUUAUCGGUUUUGGUUGUCAAAGAAGCCAAUGUUAUUGGUUCUGUUAUUGGAAAUAAACCAAGUUGCAUAGAGCUGUCACUUUUCAUUUGCUCGCUUUGGGAUAUGUUGUAAAAAUGGGAAAGCAUAAAAAUAGUACCCAAAAUGCAAUUAUCCUGGAAUUUAUGGAGAAGUAUCCAGACCUAGCAAAGGGGUUCACUAAGUGUGAUAAGCCAAAAGUGGAUGCCCUAUGGCAACAAUUGUCAGAAUCACUAAAUAGUGCAGGUCCAUCACAAAACGAUGUUAACGGAUGGAAGAAGAAAUGGACUGAGUGGAAAAGCGAAGUGAAAAGAAAGAUGGCGCAAAAUAAAGCUGAAUCUAGGGCAACUGGCGGUGGACCGUACGCAAAACAUCAGUUGACAGCUAAUGAAGAGGCUAUAGUGCGUUUAUGUGGCAUUGCGCAGUCAGUAGAAGGUGUGUCCGGCAUUUCACUUGGUCUCACGGAAGAUGUUGAUGUUUCAG